GAUGAAGAACGUAGCGAAAUGCGAUACGUAAUGUGAAUUGCAGAAUUCAGUGAAUCAUCGAAUCUUUGAACGCAUAUUGCGCUCUUUGGUAUUCCGAAGAGCAUGCUUGUUUGAGUAUCAGUCAACACCUCAACCUCUUCUUGAUUUUUCAAAAGGAGGGUGGACUUGAGCUAUCCCAACAACCUUUACCGGUCGGCGGGCGGCUUGAAAUGCAGGUGCAGCUGGACUUUUAUCUGAGCUAAAAGCAUAUCUAUUUAGUCCUCGUCAAACAGGAUUAUUACUUUUGCUGCAGCUAACAUAAAGGAUAAUUGUCCUCUUUGCUGACUGAUGCAGGAUUUUACGACACUUUAUGUGUUGUUCAACUCGAUCUCAAAUCAAGUAAGACUACCCGCUGAACUUAAGCAUAUCAAUAAGCGGAGGA
rnacentral:misc_RNA from 1 species